rnacentral:rRNA from 1 species
GACGAACGCUGGCGGCGUGCUUAACACAUGCAAGUCGAACGAUGAAGCCCAGCUUGCUGGGUGGAAGAGUGGCGAACGGGUGAGUAACACGUGAGUAACCUGCCCUGAACUCUGGGAUAAGCACUGGAAACGGUGUCUAAUACUGGAUACGACCUAUCACCGCAUGGUGUGUGGGUGGAAAGAUUUAUCGGUUCUGGAUGGACUCGCGGCCUAUCAGCUAGAUGGUGAGGUAAUGGCUCACCAUGGCGACGACGGGUAGCCGGCCUGAGAGGGUGACCGGCCACACUGGGACUGAGACACGGCCCAGACUCCUACGGGAGGCAGCAGUGGGGAAUAUUGCACAAUGGGCGCAAGCCUGAUGCAGCAACGCCGCGUGAGGGAUGACGGCCUUCGGGUUGUAAACCUCUUUUAGUAGGGAAGAAGCGAAAGUGACGGUACCUGCAGAAAAAGCACCGGCUAACUACG